rnacentral:rRNA from 1 species
CAGAGGGUGCGAGCGUUGUUCGGAAUUACUGGGCGUAAAGCGCGCGCAGGCGGCCUUUUAAGUCUACCCGUGAAAUGCCGGGGCUCAACUCCGUGCACGCCGGGGGAUACUGGGAGGCUGGAGACAGGUAGAGGCAAGCGGAAUUCCGGGUGUAGUGGUGGAAUGCGUAGAGAUCCGGAAGAACACCUGAGGCGAAGGCGGCUUGCUGGGCCUGAUCUGACGCUGAGGCGCGAAAGCGUGGGGAGCAAACAGGAUUAGAUACCCUGGUAAGUCCACGCCGUAAACGAUGGGCACUAGACGCGGGUGGGAUCGACCCCUUCCGUGUCGCAGCUAACGCGAUAAGUGCCCCGCCUGGGGAGUACGGCCGCAAGGCUG